rnacentral:rRNA from 1 species
GUGGGGAAUAUUGGACAAUGGGCGAAAGCCUGAUCCAGCCAUGCCGCGUGUGUGAAGAAGGUCUUCGGAUUGUAAAGCACUUUAAGUUGGGAGGAAGGGCAGUAAGUUAAUACCUUGCUGUUUUGACGUUACCGACAGAAUAAGCACCGGCUAACUUCGUGCCAGCAGCCGCGGUAAUACGAAGGGUGCAAGCGUUAAUCGGAAUUACUGGGCGUAAAGCGCGCGUAGGUGGUUUUGUAAGUUGGAGGUGAAAUCCCCGGGCUCAACACUGGAAUUGCUCUCAAAACUGCAAGGGUCGAAUUCGGGAGAGGAUAGCGGAAUUGUCAGUGUAGCAGUGAAAUGCGUAGAUAUUGACAGGAACACCAGUGGCGUAAGCGGCUAUCUGGACCGAUAUUGACGCUGAGGCACGAAAGCGUGGGGAUCAAACAGGAUUAGAUACCCGGGUAGUCC